rnacentral:rRNA from 1 species
GUAGGUGGCAAGCGUUGUCCGGAAUUAUUGGGCGUAAAGCGCGCGCAGGUGGUUCUUUAAGUCUGAUGUGAAAGCCCCCGGCUCAACCGGGGAGGGUCAUUGGAAACUGGGGAACUUGAGUGCAGGAGAGGAAAGUGGAAUUCCACGUGUAGCGGUGAAAUGCGUAGAUAUGUGGAGGAACACCAGUGGCGAAGGCGACUUUCUGGCCUGUAACUGACACUGAGGCGCGAAAGCGUGGGGAGCAAACAGGGAUUAGAUACCCUGGUAGUCCACGCCGUAAACGAUGAGUGCUAAGUGUUGGGGGGGUUUACCCGCCCCUCAGUGCUGCAGCUAACGCAUUAAGCACUCCGCCUGGGGAUACGGUCGCAAGACUG